GCCAGCAUGGCAGAGUGGUUUGAGUGUUGGACUACAACUCUGGAGAUCAGGGUUCGAUUCUCAGCUGGGC
rnacentral:tRNA from 1 species